CCCUUAGAUGUUCUGGGCUGCACGCGCGCUACACUGAUGCGCUCAACGAGUUUACGACCUUGCCCGGAAGGGUUGGGUAAUCUUUUUAAAACGCAUCGUGAUGGGGAUAGAUUAUUGCAAUUAUUAAUCUUUAACGAGGAAUUCCUAGUAAGCGCGAGUCAUCAGCUCGUGCUGAUUACGUCCCUGCCCUUUGUACACACCGCCCGUCGCUCCUACCGAUUGAAUGGUUUAGUGAGGCCUUCGGAUCCGCGACUCGUUUUGUGGAGAAGUUGGACAAACUCAGUCAUUUAGAGGAAGUAAAAGUCGUAACA
rnacentral:rRNA from 1 species